rnacentral:rRNA from 1 species
UACGGAGGGUGCAAGCGUUGCUCGGAAUUAUUGGGCGUAAAGGGCAGGUAGGUGGUCUCGUUUGUCUGGGGUGAAAGCCCAGGGCUUAACCCUGGAAGUGCCCCAGAAACGGCGAGACUCGAGUACUGGAGAGGCAAGUGGAAUUCCCGGUGUAGCGGUGAAAUGCGUAGAGAUCAGGAAGAACAUCGGUGGCGAAGGCGCUCUGCUGGACCAUAACUGACACUCAGGGACGAAAGCUAGGGGAGCGAAUGGG